GCCCUUCAGAGCCCUGCCUGCACCCUGUCUCUUUGGGGUGCAGCUACAAGGCCACAGGGCCUGGCCGCCAGGUGGUGGCUUUGAUCUGUCUGCUCUGCGUGGACUGCGCAGGGGCAGGGCUGCACUCCAGAGCAACCCAGAGCCUCCAGCCAGAGGCCUCUGCUGCGGAGGACAGAGGAGCCAGGCACCCGCCGCGGGAGAAGCAGGUGCCAGCCAUGCCACUGAGCAGAGCGACGGAGAUGAGGGCAGGGAGCGCAGACAGGGUGUGAGUGCAGAGGCCACACUGGACCCGCGCCUGCCGAGCCCACUGUCUCUGUGUGUGGGACACAGAGCAGUGGCUACGAGGACCAGACGUGUUUUGCAGACCGCUGGCUGGUCCCUAACGCCCUUGUGUGUCCAUCAUCCACGCUCUUCUUCCUUUCGCGGGGGGCGUGUUCUCGGGGAACGCCCACGCAGGUGAGGAGCCAGCGCUGGCCGAGCGGACGCCCACAGCCUGUGCCCACUCCCUCCCUCCGGGACCUUCUGCCCUGGAUCUUCACCCGCUUGGAUCCUGGAUCCCGCUUCCCACCGUUUUGCAGAGCCCCGAGCUGGGGGGCUUUUCAGGUUUGUCCUCCAGAGCCCCGCCUUCCCUGUGGGGUGGGUGGGCGCUGGGGCUUUGGGGUGGGUCAUCGCCCACCUGCCCCUGUCUGUCCACCCUGCCUGCCCUGCUGCAACCUCUGGGGGCCAGAAGGACGAGAGGCGGGCAGG